GAUGAACGCUGGCGGCGUGCUUGAUACAUGCAAGUCGAACGGAGAGUGUAGCAAUAUACUCUUAGUGGCGAACGGGUGAGUAACGCGUUGGUGACCUGCCCCGAAGCGAGGGAUAACAGUUCGAAAGAACUGCUAAUACCUCAUGUGAUCACCGGUUUUAGAAUCUGGUGAUUAAAGGUGAAAAUCACUUCGGGAGGGGCCUGCGUCCCAUCAGCUAGUUGGUAGGGUAAUGGCUUACCAAGGCGAUGACGGGUAGGGGACCUGAGAGGGUGGCCCCCCACAAUGGAACUGAAACACGGUCCAUACACCUACGGGUGGCAGCAGUAGGGAAUAUUGCAAAUGGGCGAAAGCCUGAUGUAGCAACGCCGCGUGUGCGAUGAAGGUCUUCGGAUUGUAAAGCACUUUUUGGAGGGAUGAGGAGGACAGUACCUCCAGAAUAAGCCUCGGCUAACUACGUGCCAGCAGCCGCGGUAAGCUAGUCUACG
rnacentral:rRNA from 1 species